UACGAAGGGGGCUAGCGUUGCUCGGAAUCACUGGGCGUAAAGCGCACGUAGGCGGCUUUUUAAGUCAGGGGUGAAAUCCUGGAGCUCAACUCCAGAACUGCCUUUGAUACUGAAGAUCUUGAGUUCGGGAGAGGUGAGUGGAACUGCGAGUGUAGAGGUGAAAUUCGUAGAUAUUCGCAAGAACACCAGUGGCGAAGGCGGCUCACUGGCCCGAUACUGACGCUGAGGCACGAAAGCGUGGGGAGCAAACAGGGA
rnacentral:rRNA from 1 species